AAACGCUGGCGGCGUGCCUUAUGCAUGCAAGUCGAACGAUCUUAACUUCGGUUGGAUAGUGGCGAACGGGUGAGUAACGCGUAGGUGACCUACCUUAAGGCGGGGGAUAACUCCGAGAAAUCGGGGCUAAUACCGCGUAAGCUCUCAGGUCGAACUGAGAGUGAAAGCUCCUUUGGGGCGCCUUUUGCGGGGCCUGCGUCCGAUUAGCUUGUUGGUGUGGUAAAAGCUCACCAAGGCGAAGAUCGGUAGCUGGUCUGAGAGGAUGAUCAGCCACACUGGGACUGAGAUACGGCCCAGACUCCGUACGGGAGGCAGCAGCAAGGAAUCUUGCGCAAGUCGGGGGAAACCCUGACGCAGCAACGCCGCGUGUGUGAUGAAGGUCUUAGGAUCGUAAAGCACUUUCGCCAGGGAUGAUAAUGACAGUACCUGGUAAAGAAACCCCGGCUAACUCCGUG
rnacentral:rRNA from 1 species